rnacentral:rRNA from 1 species
UACGAAGGGGGCGAGCGUUGUUCGGAUUUACUGGGCGUAAAGGGCGCGUAGGCGGCCCGUUUUGUCAGGCGUGAAAGCCCUGGGCUCAACCUGGGAACUGCGCUUGGGACGGAUGGGCUUGAGAUCGGGAGAGGAGAGUGGAAUUCCCAGUGUAGAGGUGAAAUGCGUAGAUAUCAGGAGGAACACCGGUGGCGAAGGCGGCUCUCUGGACCACAACUGACGCUGAGGCGCGAAAGCUAGGGGAGCAAACAGG